rnacentral:lncRNA from 1 species
GCAAGCCCACGCAGGGGCAAAUGACAAUAAGUACAUAUAGCAAAGCCCACGCAGGGGCGAAAUCCGCUAAGACGCUCCCGAUGGCCCCGCCUCUGAUCUGCUCCUCUUGUUCUGUGCCAUGAGAUGUUGAAGCCUAUAUUGAAUCAUUAGCAAAUAUCCUUCGCUCCGGUGGCCUUUCUCUUCCCAGUCUUCGAGACACAUUCCGCUUUUCUUAUCUCCAAUCCAUAAGUUAAGCUCUCCCAAAUCGCUUCUCAAGCUUUCUAAUUCUUGAGUUACGCUCUCGAGGGCAUACUUAUC